rnacentral:rRNA from 1 species
CAAAGGUUUGGUCCUGGCCUUCCUAUUAGUUAUUAACAGAAUUACACAUGCAAGCCUCCACAUCCCGGUGAAGAUGCCCUCUAAAUCUAUUUAAACGAUUAAAAGGAGCGGGCAUCAGGCACACUAAAUAAGUAGCCCAUAACGCCUUGCUCAACCACACCCCCACGGGAUACAGCAGUGAUAAAAAUUAAGCCAUGAACGAAAGUUUGACUAAGCCAUGUUAAUAUUAAGAGUUGGUAAAUUUCGUGCCAGCCACCGCGGUCAUACGAUUAACCCAAAUUAAUAGGCUCACGGCGUAAAACGUGCUAAGGACUACAAAACACUAAAGUUAAAAUUUAACCAGGCCGUAAAAAGCUACCGUUAAUAUAAAAUAUACCACGAAAGUGACUUUAUCAUCUCCAACAACACGAUAGCUGGGACCCAAACUGGGAUUAGAUACCCCACUAUGCCCAGCCCUAAACACAAACAAUUUACACAACAAAAU